UGGUGGGAGAUGAUGAAGAUAGUCUUCUUUCUCAAUCUUCAUUAAUAUCUAUGCAUGAGAAGCAGAGAGAGGAGUAUAAGAGUCAUAUCUAUAAUUGAGAUUAUUUGAUUUUUGACUCUGUCGGUGGGGCGAAGUUCUCUUAUCAAAUGAUACUCGACUUGGUCCAGCCGAAGCCCCACCCUUCUGUUUCUUUUUCUUCUGACAUUUUUCUUUUGAUUGA
rnacentral:lncRNA from 1 species